rnacentral:rRNA from 1 species
AUGGCGCGCUGCGUGCGGUGCUGCUGCUGCGUCCUGGUGCUGCUGCUCGUCGCGCUCGGCAUCGUGGCUGCCGUCGUGUUUGUCCGCAACAGGAACGGCGGCGGCGGCGGCGGCGGCGACCACCCUGUCCCCGGCUCCGUCGACCACAAGUACGCCGAGGCCCUCGCUGUCGCGCUGCAGUUCUUCCAGGUCCAGAAAUCCGGGAAGCUGGUGAAGAACGAGAUCCCGUGGAGGGGGGACUCGGCGGUGGACGACGGGCAGGAGGCCGGGCUGGACCUUUCCCGGGGGAUGUACGACGCCGGCGACCACAUCAAGUUCGGCUUCCCGUUGGCGUUCACGGCCACCAUGCUGUCGUGGUCCGUCCUCGAGUACGGCGGCGCCAUGGAGGCCGCCAAGCAGCGGGACUCCGCCCUCGACGCGCUGCGCUGGAUCAUGGACUACCUCGUCAAUGCGCACCCCGCCGACGACGUCCUCUACAUCCAGGUAGGCGACCCUGAAGUGGACCACAAGUGCUGGGAGAGGCCGGAGACCAUGUCGGAGAAGCGGCCGCUGACCAAGAUCACCGCGAACUCCCCCGGCAGCGACGUGGCGGCCGAGACGGCGGCGGCGAUGGCCGCGGCGUCGCUGGUGUACAAGCCCAUCGACGCUUCCUACUCGUCGUCCCUGCUGGGCCACGCGGAGCAGCUGUUCUCCUUCGCGGACCGGCACAGGGCCGCCUACACGCGUACCUUCCCGGAGCUCGCCAAGUACUACAACUCCACCACGUACCAGGACGAGCUCCUGUGGGCGAGCGGCUGGCUCUUCCACGCCACCGGCAACGGCAGCUACCUCGCCUACGCCACCGGCAAGAACGGCGAGGACUUCGCCGACCUCGGCAACCCCCGGUACUUCAGCUGGGACGACAAGCGCCCGGGCACCCAGGUCCUCUUGUCGAGGGUGAGUUUCUUCGCGUCGCAGGGAGCCGGCGUCGCCGAGGAAAACGGCGGCCUGGAGUCGUACAAGCAGACCGCCGACGCCGUCAUGUGCAUCCUUCUGCCGGACUCUGAAACCGCCGCGUUCAGAACGGAAGGUGGGUUGCUGUAUGUGGCCGAGUGGAACUCGCUCCAGCACCCCGUCGCCUCCGCCUUCCUCGCCGCCGUUUACGGCGACUACAUGCUCACCUCGGGGAAGACGGAGCUCACCUGCGGCGGGCAGAGCUUCUCGCCGGCCGACCUGCGCAAGUUCGCCCAGUCCCAGGCGGACUACGUGCUGGGGGACAACCCGAUGAAGCUGAGCUACCUGGUCGGGUACGGCGACGGCUACCCGCAGCGGGUGCACCACCGCGGCGCGUCCAUCCCGGCGGACGUCAACACGGGCUGCGGCGGCCAGCAGUGGCUCGAGUCGCCGGACCCCAACCCGAACGUGGCCACAGGGGCGCUCGUCGGGGGGCCCUUCAAGAACGACUCGUUCGUGGACGAGCGGCAGAAUGUGAUGCAGAACGAGGCCACCACGUACAACAGCGCCCUCAUCGUCGGCCUCCUCUCCGGCCUCCUUACCACUUCCUCCGUCGCGCAGUCCUUGUCGUCCUGA